AAAAAGGCAAAUCCUAACUUUCCGUGUCCAACUUUAACUGUCCGUCUUAUAUGAAAUUGUUUUAUAAUUCGUAUUUUUAUUGUUGUUAGAUGAUAAAACAUGAUUAAUAUUUUAUGCGUGACUUGUCUUUUUAAUUUUUUUCAUAUUUUUUUCAAAUAAGACGGACGGUCAAAUAUUGGAUACGGAAACCAGGGUUUGUCUUUUU
rnacentral:pre_miRNA from 1 species